rnacentral:rRNA from 1 species
UACGGAGGGUGCAAGCGUUGUCCGGAUUUAUUGGGUUUAAAGGGUGCGUAGGCGGCCAUUUAAGUCUGGGGUGAAAGCCCGUUGCUCAACAACGGAACUGCCCUGGAAACUGGAUGGCUUGAGUACAGACGAGGGUGGCGGAAUGGAUGCUGUAGCGGUGAAAUGCAUAGAUAGCAUCCAGAACCCCCGAUUGCGAAGGCAGCUGCCUA